rnacentral:rRNA from 1 species
GAUGAACGCUAGCGGCAGGCUUAAUACAUGCAAGUCGAGGGGCAGCAUGAGUGUAGCAAUACAUUUGAUGGCGACCGGCAAACGGGUGCGGAACACGUACACAGCCUUCCUAUAAGUGGGGAGUAGCCCAGAGAAAUUUGGAUUAAUACCCCGUAACAUAAUGAUGUGGCAUCACAUUAUUAUUAUAGCUACGGCGCUUAUUGAUGGGUGUGCGGCUGAUUAGAUAGUUGGCGGGGUAACGGCCCACCAAGUCUACGAUCAGUAGCUGAUGUGAGAGCAGGAUCAGCCACACGGGCACUGAGACACGGGCCCGACUCCUACGGGAGGCAGCAGUAAGGAAUAUUGGUCAAUGGACGCAAGUCUGAACCAGCCAUGCCGCGUGAAGGAUUAAGGUCCUCUGGGUUGUAAACUUCUUUUAUCUGGGACGAAAAAAGGCGAUUCUUCGUCACUUGACGGUACCAGAUGAAUAAGCACCGGCUAACUCCGUGCCAGCCGCCGCAGUAAGAC